CAGAGAUUCGUCCUCAAUCCCAUCAAUUUAGGUUAGUUUUUGUCAUACAGGCAUGGGUAUUUUCCCUGCAGGCCUUCCUUUUUUCCAUGUAGGCUACAGCUUCGUUUUUUCCGUUGUAUAUGGUCACCGGGAAUUCUCUUACUCCCUGUGAUGUGUAGUUGAUCGAUCUAUACACGAUUUGCAGGAUACAUAGCCGUAUGUGAAGAUUAAUCUCUCUUUCUGUGGAUUUGUCUGUCUGGACCAAGGUUUUUCUGUUCAACCUUCGUUCUUGCCCCCACCGGCUUCGUUCCUGCCGUUGUAUAUGGUCUCCGCAGCGAUCGGACAUCGGUCGUGGGCGGAUGGCAGUAGAUCGAGCCUCUGAGGGUAAGGGUAAGGGUAAGGGUUGGGUUCGGAUCUCUGCCAGUUUUCUGUUCAGGAUGAAAGGGAAGGAUAAUAAUAUGACUUGCAAGAGAGGAUUUGCUAUUCGAGUAGGUUCUUCCGUUCGCCCAAUUCGAACAUAGCAAACAACAAAAGAGACAAAGGGAAUCGAAAAGUUAUGGAUGAUGAAGGAUGAACCCUAGGUGUGAAUCCUGAGGGCUUGAGCCUUGAUGCAGCACAAACGAAAUCAAGACGCCAAUUCCAUAUCAAGGGAAGACAAAAGCUCAACAAAAGACAGCAUGAAAGACCAAGGGGUUGGACGAACUCUUAGGUUAUGGGCCCCUGAUGAUAGAGGAUGAACGUACUCUAAGGACUUCAGAUCGAGCCACUGAUUCAGUGCAAGUAUUUGGACAGGUUGAUUGGAUCGUUUGAUGAGUACGUUGAUAAAUGUCAAUCAUAG